AACGAUGACUACUGAGACUCUAUCUAAUGUGAAUGUUAAU
rnacentral:guide_RNA from 1 species